AGGAUAUGUGCCUGAAAGAUAAGGACCACUUUGAUAGAGUGACCCAUAGAGGUUCAAACCCUCUCAUAUCCUA
rnacentral:tRNA from 1 species